rfam:Salmo salar isolate Sally breed double haploid chromosome ssa05, whole genome shotgun sequence.
UGCACUCGCUACUGUAAGUCGCUCUGGAUAAGAGAGUCUGCUAAAUGACUUACA